UACGUAGGUUCCUAGCGUUGUCCGGAUUUAUUGGGUGUAAAGGGUGCGCAGGCGGACGUGCAAGUCAGAUGUAAAAGGCAGUAGCUUAACUAGUGUAAGCAUUUGAAACUGUAUAUCUUGAGAAGAGUAGAGGUAAGUGGAAUUUUUGGUGUAGCGGUGAAAUGCGUAGAUAUUAAAAAGAAUACCGGUGGCGAAGGCAGCUUACUGGGCUAAUACUGACGCUGAGGAACGAAAGCGUGGGUAGCAAACAGG
rnacentral:rRNA from 1 species